rnacentral:misc_RNA from 1 species
GGGAGAGAAAGCCAAUGAAGAGUAAGCAGGCAUGGUGGAAGCCAUUGGAGAGUGGAAUUAGGAGAUGGUAAGAUUGUAUAGCUUAUUUAUGGUCAGAAGAGAAGCGAUAGAUCGGUGAAGGAAUGAAAGUUAGAUAUGGAAAUUGAAGAGGAAAGAACAUGCGAGAGGGAUGAAGAUGAGGAGACGUUAGGGUUUUGAAGGUUAGCUAAAAGAGCUGCAUCU